rnacentral:rRNA from 1 species
GCAUAUCAAUAAGCGGAGGAAAAGAAACCAACAGGGAUUGCCCUAGUAACGGCGAGUGAAGCGGCAACAGCUCAAAUUUGAAAUCUGGCCCUUUCAGGGUCCGAGUUGUAAUUUGCAGAGGGCGCUUUGGCGUUGGCAGCGGUCUAAGUUCUUUGGAACAGGACGUCACAGAGGGUGAGAAUCCCGUACGUGGUCGCUAGCCUUUGCCGUGUAAAGCCCCUUCGACGAGUCGAGUUGUUUGGGAAUGCAGCUCUAAAUGGGAGGUAAAUUUCUUCUAAAGCUAAAUACUGGCCAGAGACCGAUAGCGCACAAGUAGAGUGAUCGAAAGAUGAAAAGCACUUUGGAAAGAGAGUCAAAUAGCACGUGAAAUUGUUGAAAGGGAAGCGCUUGCAGCCAGACUUGCCUGUAGUUGCUUAUCCGGACUUUUGUCCGGUGCACUCUUCUGCGGGCAGGCCAGCAUCAGUUUGGGCGGUUGGAUAAAGGUCUCUGUCAUGUACCUCUCUUCGGGGAGGCCUUAUAGGGGAGACGUCAUGCAACCAGCCUGGACUGAGGUCCGCGCAUCUGCUAUGAUGCUGGCGUAAUGGCUGUAAGCGGCCCGUCUUGAAACACGGACCA